AUGAUGAGCCCAGAUUCCGCAAAAUGGCUUGAGGCCAUGAAAUCUGAGAUGGGAUCCAUGUAUGAGAACAAAGUGUGGACUUUGGUUGACUUGCCUGAUGAUCGGCAAGCCAAAGAGAAUAAAUGGAUCUUCAAGAAGAAGACUGACGUUGACGGUAAUGUUAUUGUCUAUAAAGCUCAACUUGUUGCAAAAGGUUUUCGACAAGUUCAAGGAGUUGACUACGAUGAGACUUUCUCACCCGUAGCGAUGCUUAAGUCUGUCCGAAUCAUGUUAGCAAUUACCGCAUUUUAUGAUUAUGAAAUUUGGCAAAUGGAUGUCAAAACUGCAUUCCUUAAUGGAUAUAUUAAAGAAGAGUUGUAUAUGAUGCAACCAGAAGGUUUUGUCGAUCUAAAAGGUGCUAACAAAGUGUGUAAGCUCCAGCGAUCCAUUUAUGGACUAGUACAAGCAUCUCGGAGUUGGAAUAUACGCUUUGAUAGUGUGAUCAAAGCAUAUGGUUUUAUACAGACUUUUGGAGAGAAGGCUGUAUUUACAAGAAAGUGA
rnacentral:rRNA from 1 species